rnacentral:rRNA from 1 species
CGCGGCCUAUCAGCUUGUUGGUGGGGUGAUGGCCCACCAAGGCGACGACGGGUAGCCGGCCUGAGAGGGUGUCCGGCCACACUGGGACUGAGAUACGGCCCAGACUCCUACGGGAGGCAGCAGUGGGGAAUAUUGCACAAUGGGCGCAAGCCUGAUGCAGCGACGCCGCGUGGGGGAUGACGGCCUUCGGGUUGUAAACCUCUUUCACCAUCGGCGAAGCCGGGAGCUUUUGUUUCUGGUGACGGUAGGUGGAGAAGAAGCACCGGCCAACUACGUGCCAGCAGCCGCGGUAAUACGUAGGGUGCGAGCGUUGUCCGGAAUUACUGGGCGUAAAGAGCUCGUAGGUGGUUUGUCGCGUUGUCCGUGAAAUUCCCUGGCUUAACUGGGGGCGUGCGGGCGAUACGGGCAGACUGGAGUACUGCAGGGGAGACUGGAAUUCCUGGUGUAGCGGUGGAAUGCGCAGAUAUCAGGAGGAACACCGGUGGCGAAGGCGGGUCUCUGGGCAGUAACUGACGCUGAGGAGCGAAAGCGUGGGGAGCGAACAGGAUUAGAUACCCUGGUAGUCCACGCCGUAAACGGUGGGUACUAGGUGUGGGUUUCCUUCCUUGGGAUCCGUGCCGUAGCUAACGCAUUAAGUACCCCGCCUGGGGAGUACGG